ensembl:lncRNA
AUGGACCCUAGUUGGAAGAAAAGAAAGGGUGGCGCUGAAAGAGCCAGGGACCAGAAAAAAACAGCCCUUCAGGCAGAUGCUACGAAAUGCCUAAACAUAGCUGAUAUGUUUGCUGCUCGUGGACAUGGAGCCUCCACAUCUGCAGCAGCAGCAUCAACAGGUAGUGGAGGAGAAGAUGCUCGACAGCAGGUGGACGAGGCGGCCAUGACGGUUCCCAUGCUUAAGGAGUGCUGGGUGUUGCUGCUGAGAAGAGGCAGAUGGGGUAGCAUCAGCAUCUCUCCCACUUGUUGGAGUGUGUGUGUGUGUGUGUGUGUGUGUGUGUGUGUGUGUGUGUGUGUGUGUGUGUGUGUGUGUGUGUGUGUGUGUGUGUGUGUUCUGGUCCAUUUAAAAGCUCUCAUUGGUUUGCAUGCUGCAUGUAAGUUACCCAUUCCUUUUCGUUUUAAUGUUUGUUUUAUUGAUAUUCAUAUUCUUAAUAUACAGUAUAAUUGUGUAUUUAUUUACUUUAUUUUUUCUAUUUAUUUUGUACAGUUAAGUUAAGCAAUUUAUUUUAUUUUGUACAGUUAAGUAAUUAUUGACUCAUUGUAAAUAUAAGUGUUUAACUUCAAUUGUUAUGUGUGUCAUCACUUUUUAUUUUAUAUUCAAAAUUAAAUGGAUGAAAAUCCUAUUCUUUCCAAGUCCUGGCAUAAUUUCCCACACCUAACAUUUUAUUUUGUAUUGACAGUUGAUUAGCAACACAAAUUGGUAAUAAGAGAAAUCCUUGCUGUUACUUGUAGCUUGUAGUGAGAUAAACAUCUUGUGGCCUUUUUGUGUAUUGCAAUUUUAGGUCAGCCUUUGCAUCCAGUCAUUGGUACAGUCAUCCAGUCAUUUCUUGCUUUAAUAAUGCAUUGUAUCACACAAGUAAUGAUAUAUUAUUCAUAGUUUAGCCUACAGUAUUACAUUUAUUAUAAUUAUAUGAACUAAAAUGAAUUAAUUAAUAUUUAAUAUAAUUCCUUUACUUAAAUUUAAGUAACAAGGUUGAAAGAAAUGACAUGUCUAAAAAGUAAUGUGACCUACGGUCAAUAGAUCAUACUUUUGAUAAGCCUAACAGUAUUUUGGGAGAACUUUUCAUAAUGCUUCUCAUAGUGUUAAAAUGUUUGUCUCCUAGUGCACAUUGAUCGUUUAAGGCAGUGAUUCCCAACAAGGGGUAUAUGGUACAUAUACCACCUGAGGUGCGCAAGCAAACUGCAGGGGGUAUGUGGAUAAAUUAACGAAUGUGUGCAGCAUAGUCAUUGCAUGAGUGAAGGGGUACUCAUGGUGUGACAAAAAGGCUUAAGGGGUACGCAUGUCAAUAGCAGUUGGGGAAAAAACCCACGCUGUCACACAGCGCGCUUACAUUUUUCCCCGUCAAUACCUGGUGGUGGCCUGCUCUUGGUUAAAAAUGCCCAGCCUGAAAAAUUUCCCCAGUCCAGCCCUGGCUAAAUGUGCCAUAAAACACCAUAGAAACUGUAUUUCGCUACAAUACUUGAUUCAACCACUCUAUUUCAUCCUAAACAAACCACAAAGGGGGCUCAAUGUUCAAAAUACAGGAAAGAAAUAAAAGCUCACAGCAACAUAUUGAAAAAAAAGAAGAACUAUAGUUCAUUUUUUGGAACUGUGAACUAUUUGAAUUAUGAACGUUUAACUGAACUCGUUCAUUUUAAAAUUUGCUAACUGAACUUUGAACUAGUUCACGUAGGAAGUGAACUUUCCCAACACUGUAUGCAGAGAUAUCAAUAAAAAAUGAUUCCCUGUGUGUCCAGAAGGGAAGUUAGCAUAUCCUAGCCAAGCUCUUUUUAUGUGAGGGGAAUACACUUGUUAUUACUUCACACUGUUUUCCAAUUUAUUGAGAAUAGUCGCUUUUUUAAAACAAGAUCCAGUCACAACAAGACGACAACAAGAUUGUAGUUUUUCUACAAACACUGAUAAUUCUGCUAUUUCUUUCUGCGUGAUUGGCAAGAUUCAAUGAUUCAUCAGCUGGUCCUGGUUUGGUAGUCCACAUGGGGGGCAUCCUCUCAGCGGUGUAACACAGGUAGCGUAAUAAUAAUUGACCAAAAAUAGUGCUGUAUUAGGAAACAUCCGGUUGGAGGAAUGGUUAUACUACGGGACCAAAGUCCCGGUUAUACAACGCUCAUUCAGUGCGCUUAGACCCCUCCACACUUGGCUUAGGGACUGUAGCUACCAAUAACAUAAUAACGGGCAAUAACGUAAUAACUGCCAAUAACGUAAUAAUUAAAAUGUAAUAAAGCCAAUAACGUAAUAACUUGCCAAUAAUGUAUUAAAGUUCUUGAGCCGAUAACGUAAUAACUUUUUGCCAAUAAUGUAAUAACUUAUUACGUUAUUGGCCUUGUAUUAAAAAAUCCUUUGAAAAUGUUAUAACAGAGCCAAUGAUGUGAUAACUGAGGUAUCACUUUAUUUUAUUUUCAAUAUCUGGAAAGAAACUGUCACAUUUGUAUGAGCCUUAAUAUUAAUAUUAACAGCGUUAAUAUUGCAUCGUGCAACACAUGCUUGAAUAUCUGACCCUACAGAUACCCCUCCACCCUCCUACCCCCCUCCACAGGAGGUCUUAAAGGAGCCAAGAGUCAAUUUGGAUUCAUAUGUAACUCUUAGGGUUCCAUUAUAGUGCUCCUUGUAUCCAACUCCGUGACCACGCAGACGCUUCAACGGAGUCGUGAGCCUUUCGAAGAUCUGCGUUGCAGUUGUCAGUAUGGUAUUGCAACUGUUACGUAUUUUAAGAACAUAUGCUGCCCCCACAUAGCCUCUAGGAAGCAGAUUCAAACACACAAGCUGUAUUACCCUCACAUAACCACUAGGAAGAAGGACCGAACAUAUAAGCCGUAAAUACUGUACAUAGCCACAAGGGGAGCAGGACCUUACCUUGAAGACCUUUAGAUAGGUGAAGAAGCCGAGGCUAAUACGUCACAUAGGACACGCCCACUUCACAUAGGCCACGCCCACUUGACCCGAUCAAUCUAGACAGAGAGGUUGGAGGUCAGAAAACUUCAGGUAGCUCAGGACUCGCGGGUUAGAGUUUUGAUCAGCUGGGAGUCGCUCAGCACGUGUUCCACACACUUCCCCUCCUUUUGCUCCGUAGUUACCAUACCGAAAUACUUUAACAAAUAAAGUGAGUUAAAAGCGAUCCGGAUUGGACUACUUUCUUUGAAGAAUGCUGCACAACUCACCGCUGGAACGCUAGGGGCUACGGGAAUGAGACGAUACUGACCAAUGACAGCCCCGCGGUCUCCAUCGUUC